UAGGAUAUAGAAGCGAACCCAGGGAACUGAAACAUCUAAGUACCUGGAGGAAAAGAAAUCAACCGAGAUUCCCUUAGUAGCGGCGAGCGAAAGGGGACCAGCCCUAAACCUCUUUUAUAUUUAAUUGAACACUCUGGAAAGUGUGGCCAUAGUGGGUGAUAGCCCCUUAAAUGAAAAAUAUAUUAGAGUUAUUCGAGUAGGACGGGACACGAGAAAUCUUGUCUGAAUAUGGGGGGACCAUCCUCCAAGGCUAAAUACUCUCUACUGACCGAUAGUGAACUAGUACCGUGAGGGAAAGGCGAAAAGAACCCCGGUGAGGGGAGUGAAAUAGAACCUGAAAUUAUGUGCAUACAAGCAGUCGGAGCCCCCUUCGGGGGGUGACGGCGUACCUUUUGUAUAAUGGGUCAGCGACUUACUUUCAAUGGCAAGCUUAACCUUUUUAGGGGAGGCGUAGGGAAACCGAGUCUUAACUGGGCGACAUAGUCUUUGGGAGUAGACCCGAAACCGGGCGAUCUAUCCAUGGCCAGGGUGAAGGUUGGGUAACACUAACUGGAGGCCCGAACACACCUAUGUUGAAAAAUGGGGUGAUGAGCUGUGGAUAGGAGUGAAAGGCUAAUCAAGCUCGGAGAUAGCUGGUUCUCCUCGAAAUCUAUUUAGGUAGAGCCUCAUGUAUCACUGUUGGGGGUAGAGCACUGUUAUGGCUAGGG
rnacentral:rRNA from 1 species